ensembl:snRNA
GUGUCAUAUGAAAGGAGAGAAGGUUAGUGCUCCCUUUGACAAAGCUGGAAGGGACCCUCAGCCUGACACCAUGCAUACAGUUAAGGCAUUGCCACCUACUUUGUGGCAUCAAAAGUAAAGUGUUUU